CACACAAAACUGAUAGGACCCAAAUGCACAACUCCAGACAAAAGAUGAUUCAAUAAAAAGGUUUUUACUGAGGUGUUAAACAAGGUAAGCCAUUCACAGGGUUCAAAACGAUCUGGCACUGAGCACAGGGAACACACAGAAUAUAUAAAAACAAAGGACUCCACAGGUGCAAACAAUAAGGGUGGGGCAGAUAAUCAGGUCAGUGGGCAAACAGGCAAGGUAGGAGUCGAACUACCUGAAAUGAGAAGGGAAAUGACAAAGUAAAACAGGAAAUGGCAGACACGGAAUUUGACAAUAAAGACUCACA